UGCCAGCCGCCGCGGUAAUACGAAGGGUGCUAGCGUUGUUCGGAAUUACUGGGCGUAAGGAGCAUGUAGGCGGAUGAAUUAGUCAGAGGUGAAAUCCUACAGCUUAACUGUAGAACUGCCUUUGAUACUGCGAGUCUUGAAUUUGGAAGAGAGAGAUGGAAUUCCAGGUGUAGUAGUGAAAUACGUAGAUAUCUGGAAGAACACCAGAGGCGAAGGCGGUCUCUUGGUCCAUAAUUGACGCUGAGGCGCGAAAGCGUGGGGAGCGAACAGGAUUAGAUA
rnacentral:rRNA from 1 species